AUCGUGAUUGCUUAUUGCCAAUCUGGUGCACCAAGAGCGCACAAGUUGGUACCCGAAAGAUGGUGAACUAUGCCUGGCAAGGGCGAAGCCAGGGGAAACUCUGGUGGAGGCCCGUCUGGAUUCUGACGUGCAAAUCGAUCUUCAGAGCUGGGUAUAGGGGCGAAAGACUAAUCGAACUAUCUAGUAGCUGGUUCCUCCUGAAGUUUCCCUCAGGAUAGCUGGUGAUCGUACAAAGUAUGACAUGUUUCAUCCGGUAAAGCGAAUGAUUAGAGGCCUUGGGGGCGAAAUGACCUCAACCUAUUCUCAAACUUUAAAUGGGUGAGAAGCCGGGCUUGCUUGAUUGAAGCUUGGUAUGUUGAAAUGAAUGAUUGCCUAGUGGGCCAUUUUUGGUAAGCAGAACU
rnacentral:rRNA from 1 species